UGGGAUAUAGUUCAGCGGUAGAACGAUUGGCUGUUAACCAAUAUGUCGUAGGUCCGAUUCCUACUAUCCCAG
rnacentral:tRNA from 1 species